GACGAACGCUGGCGGCGUGCUUAACACAUGCAAGUCGAGCGGUAAGGCCCUUUCGGGGGUACACGAGCGGCGAACGGGUGAGUAACACGUGGGUGACCUGCCCUCAGCUCUGGGAUAAGCCUGGGAAACCGGGUCUAAUACUGGAUAUGACUCCAUGACGCAUGUUGUGGGGUGGAAAGCCUUGUGCGGCUGAGGAUGGGCCCGCGGCCUAUCAGCCUGUUGGUGGGGUGANGGCCUACCAAGGCGACGACGGGUAGCCGGCCUGAGAGGGCGACCGGCCACACUGGGACUGAGACACGGCCCAGACUCCUACGGGAGGCAGCA
rnacentral:rRNA from 1 species